AACGAACGCUGGCGGCAGGCUUAACACAUGCAAGUCGAACGAAAUCUUCGGAUCUAGUGGCAGACGGGUGAGGAACACGUGGGAACAUCCCUUUCAGUUCGGAAUAACGUUGGGAAACUAACGCUAAUACCGGAUACGUCCUUCGGGAGAAAGAUUUAUCGCUGAAAGAUUGGCCCGCGUCUGAUUAGCUAGUUGGUGAGGUAAUGGCUCACCAAGGCUACGAUCAGUAGCUGAUCCGAGAGGAUGAUCAGCCACAUUGGGACUGAGACACGGCCCAAACUCCUACGGGAGGCAGCAGUGGGGAAUAUUGGACAAUGGGCGCAAGCCUGAUCCAGCCAUGCCGCGUGAGUGAUGACGGCCUUCGGGUUGUAAAGCUCUUUUGUCCGGGAAGAUAAUGACUGUACCGGAAGAAUAAGCCCCGGCAAACUUCGUGCCAGCAGCCGCCGUAA
rnacentral:rRNA from 1 species